rnacentral:rRNA from 1 species
AGUGAACGCUGGCGGUAGGCCUAACACAUGCAAGUCGAACGGCAGCACAGUAAGAGCUUGCUCUUACGGGUGGCGAGUGGCGGACGGGUGAGGAAGACAUCGGAAUCUACUUUUUCGUGGGGGAUAACGUAGGGAAACUUACGCUAAUACCGCAUACGACCUACGGGUGAAAGCAGGGGAGCUUCGGACCUUGCGCGAUUGAAUGAGCCGAUGUCGGAUUAGCUAGUUGGCGGGGUAAAGGCCCACCAAGGCGACGAUCCGUAGCUGGUCUGAGAGGAUGAUCAGCCACACUGGAACUGAGACACGGUCCAGACUCCUACGGGAGGCAGCAGUGGGGAAUAUUGGACAAUGGGCGCAAGCCUGAUCCAGCCAUACCGCGUGGGUGAAGAAGGCCUUCGGGUUGUAAAGCCCUUUUGUUCGGAAAGAAAAGCAGCAGGUUAAUACCCCGCUGUUCUGACGGUACCCAAAGAAUAAGCACCGGCUAACUUCGUG